UGCCAGCAGCCGCGGUAAUACGGAGGGUGCAAACGUUGUUCGGAAUCACUGGGCAUAAAGCGCACGUAGGCGGCCUUGCCAGUCUGAUGUGAAAGCCCCCGGCUCAACCGGGGAACUGCAUUGGAUACUACAAGGCUCGAGGACGGUUGGGGUGAGUGGAACUCCUGGUGGAGCGGUGAAAUGCGUAGAUAUCAGGAGGAACACCAGUGGCGAAAGCGGCUCACUGGACCGUCUCUGACGCUGAGGUGCGAAAGCUAGGGGAGCGAACGGGAUUAGAUA
rnacentral:rRNA from 1 species